rnacentral:rRNA from 1 species
GUGGGGAAUAUUGCACAAUGGGCGCAAGCCUGAUGCAGCAACGCCGCGUGAGGGACGACGGCCUUCGGGUUGUAAACCUCUUUUAGCAGGGAAGAAGCGAAAGUGACGGUACCUGCAGAAAAAGCACCGGCUAACUACGUGCCAGCAGCCGCGGUAAUACGUAGGGUGCAAGCGGUGUCCGGAAUUAUUGGGCGUAAAGAGCUCGUAGGCGGUCUGUCGCGUCUGCGGUGAAAGCUGGAGGCUCAACCUCCAGCCUGCAGUGGGUACGGGCAGACUAGAGUGCGGUAGGGUAGAUUGGAAUUCCUGGUGUAGCGGUGGAAUGCGCAGAUAUCAGGAGGAACACCGAUGGCGAAGGCAGAUCUCUGGGCCAUAACUGACGCUGAGGAGCGAAAGCAUGGGGAGCGAACAGGAUUAGAAACCCCUGUAGUCC